rnacentral:rRNA from 1 species
GUGGGGAAUAUUGGACAAUGGGCGCAAGCCUGAUCCAGCAAUGUCGCGUGGGUGAAGAAGGUCUUCGGAUCGUAAAGCCCUUUCGACAGGGACGAUGAUGACGGUACCUGUAGAAGAAGCCCCGGCUAACUUCGUGCCAGCAGCCGCGGUAAUACGAAGGGGGCUAGCGUUACUCGGAAUUACUGGGCGUAAAGGGCGCGUAGGCGGCUCUGUUAGUCAGGCGUGAAAUUCCUGGGCUUAACCUGGGGACUGCGCUUGAUACUGCAGGGCUUGAGGCCGAGAGAGGGUGGUGGAAUUCCCAGUGUAGAGGUGAAAUUCGUAGAUAUUGGGAAGAACACCGGUGGCGAAGGCGACCACCUGGCUCGGUUCUGACGCUGAGGCGCGACAGCGUGGGGAGCAAACAGGAUUAGAAACCCUGGUAGUCC